CAGCAGGCAGCUCUUUGUGUAUGUGCUUUACUUUAUUUUUUAUAUGAUUGUGUAUUUGCUCUUCUUUAUGUGGGGAUAUUAUGGUGUGUGUGUGUGUGUGUGUGUGUGUGUGUGUGUGUGUGUGUGUGUGUGUAUUCAUGUGUAUCUGUGUCAGAGGACAGUCUUAGAUGUUGUUCCUUAAGCACCAAGCACUCACUUAUUCUAAGCUACCUGGCCUGAAAUCCUAUAGCUCUUCUCUGAGCCUUCAUUGUGCUAGAAUUGCAAACAUGUAAAAACCAUGGCUCUGGGUUUUGAACUCAGGUCUUUAUAUUUGCAAGACAAGCACUUCAACAACUGAACCAUCUCCCCAGUCCUCUACUCUUAAAUUUAUCCUGGCAAUGCAGGCAAAAGUAAAAAGAAAAAGAGGGCAAUAAUUAGGAGGGGAUGAAAAACAGGAGAGAAAUGGGAGAAGCAGGAAGAGAGGAGGAAGAGGAAGAGCAGAAUGGGGAAGUGAGAAGACCUCAUUUCUACCCUCAAUGGGUUCAUUCAGUAGUUCCUACUUCUUAACAAAUAAGAAGUAUUUCAAACUUUUAACAUAUUAACCAUUCCUUCGGAUGCUGGGAUGGCCCAGUGGGUAAAGGAACUUGUUGCCAAGCCUGAAGAUCCAUGAUCAAUCCCCAGGACACAAAUGGUAGGAGGGAAAACCUGACUUCCAGAAAAUGUUCUUUGACCUCCACAGGUGUGCUGUGGUACAUGGGUGCAUGCACACACACAUACACACACACAUACACACACACACACACACACAGAGAAAGAGAGAGAGAGAGAGAGAGAGAGAGAGAGAGAGAUAGACACACACAGACACACAGAGACACACAGACACACAUACAGACACACACACACAUUUACACAUCCAUGCUCAUACACACAUACACAUACUCACAAAUACACACACUCACACAGUACACAGAUAUGCACAUGGGCACUCUCACACACACAGUCACACAUACACAUACACUCACAUACACCUACACACAUGCACAUGGGCAUUCACACACACACACUGACAUUAAAUGUAAAAGAAACUUUUAUAGAAACUAUCUUGGUGCUAAUUCUGUGUCAGUGCUUACCACAUUGAGUCUCAUGGGAAGGACACUAGAAAUAUAGCAGGCCACUUGUGGCCGGAAAUACCUCUGCAGUCUUCAUGUGUUCGUGUCACUCCUCAGCUUUGGUGGCGCUGAAAAAACAUUGCUCUAAUGGCUGCAGAGGCAGUAUGUGGGUGACUAGGCUAAUGAAGCGCCAAGAUCCUACUUUCUGGGGAUCUAAUAGGAUUUUCAAGGCCCCGAGGGGCCUAUGCUAACACGGCACAUAUGUUGUUCCUCUAAAAUGUCUCUCAAUCCAACAUGUAUUUGACAGAAGCUAAUGAGCUGCCAGGUUGAAAUGCAGUUCUUAAACAAAGGUCUGCAGUGGGACUGAUUGGAGUGGUGCCAUCUGCUUCUGCUCGCUGCUGUGGCAGGGAGCGGGGCUCUCCCACAGCCUUAGACUAAAGUGUCAUGGAAGCCAGGAGUCACCCCCUACCUCUGCUCUUUUCCUGAGAGAGUUGUCUCAGCGCAUCUUCUAGCUUCAUCUUUCUUUUUGCCUUCCUUUUUAAAAAGAGGGAAUACACUUUAUUGAGAUAUGAUUUAUGUAUCCAAGAAUUCAUUCAUUCCAAGUCUUCACUUGAACCAUUUUAGCAAGCACAUAGAAUCGCACAGCCAUUGCCAUAAUCUAAACUUAGAACUUUCACAUCACCCCCUGAAAAGAAGCUUCACCCCUCUGCAUUUACAGCCACUUGAAGCCUCCACCUGAAGUGCCAGCAUCCAGAAGCACUUGGGCAUUUCCAAUAUCAUUAAACCUUUCCACCCCCCAAGCCCGGCAACCCAUGCUGUUGGGGUCUUUUAAGCAAGAACAUCUCUAUUUUUAUGGAAGUCAGAGGAAAGGAUGGAAUUUGUUUUCACUUAGCAGGCGACUUGACAAAAAGAGCUUCGUGCUGAGCUAGAAAUACCCACAGCCAAUAAGAGUCUGUGUGUCUCUGAAAGUCAUGUUUAUUCACUGACAAGGGAGGCUACUUCCCUCAAGGGCCAGCUGCAGCCCUCCUGGCUGGCUUGGACAAGUGGCUUCCUCUCUCUGACCCGAGGCUUCUUCACCUGUACAAAACAACCCAGAUCGGUGCCAAAGUGUUCACUUGCUUCAGUCUUGUGAGGUUCUAUAGUAAAAGCAGCAGGGGGCUGGUGCUGGCAAAGCCUGGCAGCAAUUGUUUUCUUCCUCCACAUGAAUGUGUUCUUAUUCAAGGGUCAGUAAAUUCCUCGGCAGCCCGAGACAUCAUUUUUUACUUACUCGGGUGCUUAUAGUCAAUUCUUCCUCCAUGAGACUUUUCAGGGAAGAUCAGAAUACUUCCAAACACAUUUUAAUUUCUUUCUUUCCUUGUUUAUUUUUUUUUUAAUUCCAGAAAGAUAGGCAGUCUUUGCUUUAACUAAAGCAGCAUGUGGCAGUUAUGCAUAAGUAAAUUACUUUGAAUUCAAAAUAAAUGUAAGCCAACUAGACAGUGGAUGGGGAAGAGCUGGAUGGUUCUAAAGGCCAACAGAAAAGCUAUCUGCUCCAGUUGGAGGGAACAAGUCAGGUAAAGUGGGGGCAGGAGCUUGAGUUCUUGGUUCCUUCCUAGUCUAAAUCUUUAAGUUCUAUGACGUGAGCUGAUUAUGAGUAGACUCCUGUAUCCACCUAGGAGUAUGGUAACCAAAGGAAUUUUCACAGGCUCUACCUGAGUUCAUGCAUGAAUGUUGGGGGAUUCCUGUGUGGUUCCUGACACUGGAGUUUAACCAGGUCCCAUGCUGGACCAACCCAUAUCUACAUCAAGUUGAGGCAGCAUAUCCAGAAGAAACUAAACCUUAGUAGAGAUGGGAAUAUUUGACAAUAAAAGGAAAUAAUCAAAAAGCAGGUCUAAGGCUAGGAAGAUAGUUUAGCUGGUAACGCACUUGCCUUGUAAUCAUGAGGACCUGAGUUCAAUUCCCAGUACCCAUGUUGAAAAACAACAACAGCAACAACAAAAACCCCAAGUUAGAGCUUAUGCUGAAAGUCUCAGCUAUGAGGAGACAAAAAUAGAUCCCUGGUAUUUGCUGGAUAGACAGCUUCACCUUCUUGGCAAGUUGGGAAUCCAUGCCUCAUAGGAGGUAGACAAUGACUGAAGAACCACAGAACAAUACCCAAGGUUGUCCUCUAGACUCUACAUGCAUGAACUCCUAUAUGCACAUGUGCACCACAUACACAUCAACAGACACACACACGCACGCACGCACGCACACGCUAAUAGAUUCAGAGGUAAGGCAAAACUGUAAAACAGAAGAAAACUCUAAAGUCUCCUCAUAGAGCUUAUCACAUGAAGUGGCCUCUCAAAACUGAGCCCCCAGACCCAUCCCUCCAGUAGAUUUCUAAGUGACCAGGGAUUUGAUAAGAAAAUGGACCCAGACACCCUACCAGAAUAUCCAUAAACAACAGCUGUCUCCCAUAGGGAAUAUUAUCUAAGAAGAACCUGGAAUCAGAAAGGAACUUGUUCUCUGAGAAUCUUCUGGAUCACUCCUGUCAACUGCAGGUGUCUGCAGCAUCCAGGAAGAUCAUUCCCUAGGAGAGGGACUUCCCACUUCAUUUCUUCUUGUUACACCAGGAACUAUAUUUUCUCCCUUAUCACUGCCCUUUCCUCUCUUCCCCUGGCCUGCCAAGUCCUGUUUAUUAAAAAUGUUGUGUCCAAUUUGCCUAGCUUUUAAUUAAGCUGUCAAGUUGAAAUGGGAUUGUCUCCUGGGAAGUGAACAAAGAUUUUAUGGUCAUUUAAUUUUUUGCUUAGGAUUUAAAAAUCCCACUUCUGGCAUGUUUAAAAUUAUUAAUGAGAUCCAGGAAUUCCUACCCAUUUGUGUCCAUUACAAGACAUAAAUCAUUAAGCUCAAUUAGGAGUGAGGGAAACUUGUGGGUUGAAAGCUGGAGGUUGAAUCUUAUACACCCAGCCAUGGCAAGAGAUUUGGCUGGCUAAGGAUGCAGUGGGGCAGGGCAGAGGGAUUGGCAGGGGGCACAGCAAAUGCUGGGGGUGGGUAUGGGAAGAAGAAUGUAGAGGCAAAAAGAAGAAGGAGACAUGGUAAGGUGAUGUGAAAAUGGUGUGAAGAAUAAAAUUCAGAUAGACCCCCAGAGGCAGAGGAAGGGAGAAAGGAAUGAGGGUGGAGCACUGUAGAUAACAGGUUAUCUUAGUAACAACUACCAAUAUUCUCAUUUCAACCCUUACUUAAUCCCAUCCAGUUAGGCAGAACUAUGCAACUUCUUUUGGUGAAUGAAAUAAGCACAUGACUCGCCUUGCUUUCUUCUCUUUAUAGUUUGCAAUGGCAUCCUAGUUAUUUUUGUCCUUCUGUGACAAAACCCCAUGAUCAUGAAAAAUUAUAAAAGAUAGCAUUUAUUGGGUUUACAGUUUCAGAGGGUUAGAGAAUCCUUGAUGGUGGAGCAAAGGAAUGGUUGCAGGAACAGCUGAGAGUUCACAUGUUAAUCCACAUGGGGAAUGGUGGGAGACUUCUGAAUUCUUGCUCACCCCUGUAAUGUACCCCGUCAACAAGGCCACACCUCCUAAUCCCUCCUAAAUAGCUCCACUAACUGGGGACUAAUUAUACAAAUCUAAGCCUAUGGGGCACAUUCUCAAUCAAACUUCCACAGAUGAAGAUGGCAAUUACACAGCUAUAACUCUGUCAUCCUGUGUCCCUGAGAGAUUGAUGAUCAGAGUCUUCAUCUCAGCUGCUUUAGACUGGUACAACAUGAGUAAGAAAUAACCUUGUGUUGUUUAAAGCCACUAUAAUUUGGGGAGCAUUUGUUACAACAUGGGAUCAUUGUCUAUUGUAGCUGGUACAGGCUCUUUCAAAGCAAAGGCACCUACCAAUAAGAGAAAGAGGCUGGAACAAUGCAGGUAAGACACUGAAAUGUCUAAGAGUAAAGAGAGAAAGGGGGCAAGAACUGAAUGCACCUUCACAGAGAGAGGAGUGCAUAUAAUAGGCCUGUGGAAAAUAAAUGUAGACAGUUUCGCUUUUCAAGUCUUGAUUUGAACUCAUCUUACUCCAUCCAACCAGCACUACAUCCAACCUCCAGGCCUUGCCCCUGUCACUCAUUCUGUAUCCAGGUCCAGUGUGUCGUGAACCUUUCACCCUCAUCAAAGAAGCUUCUUUUUGCAGCAAAGACCAUUACAGAAAUCUUUAACAGGUCAAAAUACAGGAAGCAAUUGACUAUGGAGUGUCAAGCCUCGAUUGAUAUAUCUACAACACACUCCAUACAGCUAAGUCUAAGGGAACAUGAUGGGAAAGGAGGAAGAAAGAUCGUAAGAGCCAGAGGACAAGAUCAUCUGCUGUGAGACCGUGUCUUCUAUAUAAGACAGAGAAACUGUACCCAUGAACUCUUAAUAAGAGUUAGCCCAAAGAUGAGCUAAACAAUGACAAUAUCCAUUGACAUGCCAACACAGACUGGAAAAAUCCCUAAGGUCCCACCACUAGAUGGAAAAGUGACAAGCAACUAAUGACUGAUGAGAGAGGGAGAGGGAGAGGGAGAGGGAGAGGAGAGAUUCUUCUCCAAGGAUUAACUUCCCCUAAUUGGUUAUCUAGUACUGAGUGAUCAUUCCUAAGAACAUUUAUAUACAAGCAACACCAAAUAGAUUCAGCACAUUAUAUUUAUAUAUUCAUGCAUAUAUAAUAAUUAAGUGAUAAUUUUUAAAAGAGGCCAUGGAUUUAAGAAGGAAUGGGAGUAGGACACAGGAGGAGUAAGAGAGUGAAGAUGGAUGGGGAAAGAUGUAAUACUGAACACCUAUAUAAACAACCCCCCCCCCAAAAUUAGGUCUUGACUUCAUAAUCCUAGGGAAAUUCUAGGAUCUUCUCAGCUCUCAGAAUAAAUACUCCAGUUUCUACCAAAGAUGAGACUCAUGGUUCGCCAGUCUCCCAUCCUCAGUUGUAUUUUAGGCUGAGGGUAGAGUAGCAGGUGUUGUUACCCCUCACCAACUACAUGAACCAAUUCCUCUUUCUGUCUUCUAACCCUUGCACUUUCUUGAUCUUCUCCAGGCAAGAAGACUGUUCUAAAUAUUGUCCACAUGCUUUAAACAUCAGCCUUUGCUAACCACCUGGACAAACGAGACCUUUGACAAGACCACAUAAAUAGAACAGGGAACAUGGUGGCCAGCACACACACACCCUCAGCCACCUGUCAACUCCAAGAUAUGGAUUACAUCUAUAUAGCCUACCUCAGAAACCUUCUGCUGAGGUGACUGUUCACUUCAAGGGGAAAAGAGAAAUAAAUUGAUAAGAAAAAUAAACCACAGUCUCAACUCAAACUCCUAAUGGGCAAGAGGAAGACUAAUACGGUUAUAAUUCAGAGUAGACUCUAGUUGUCUAGUCUGUUGUCACUUUGAUCUGAUUACUUUGUUCCCUUCUAAGACAAAAUGUCUUGGUGAGUUACAUGGUGAAGAUGAGUCACAGGUUUAUCUGCAAAUGACUGACUUUUCUAUUCCCCAAACAGAUGAGAUUAUAAGUGCUGGGGGAGACAGAGCACUGACCACACUGAACCUAAGUUAACACUGGAUUUUGAUCCACGACCACCACACACACACACACACACACACACACACACACACACACACACACACAGGAGACAGCUCACUCCUGGGCAGUACUUUCUAGUCCAUCAAAACUGAUACUGAUGGGAAGAGGAUAGUUAUUAUGGAAUAAGAAUAGUUGUAGAAUAUAGGGGUAAGAGGCAUAUGAAAAUUCAUGGCUUGAGUUGCCACACUGGUUCUGAUUUCGAUGGCUGUGCAUUCUUGAACACGAGCUCUCUCAAUUAGGCUGAUCUCUGAAAAAGGUAGAAACACUAUUGACCCCUGCCACCUCUGAAGAACAUUGUGAAGUAUAAAGCUAAAACAGCAUGAAACUUCUCUAUUUUCUGAAAACUCCAAUAUUUCGUAGAUACAGAGUAUUCCUUAUGACUUCACUGUGACCACCAUGACCAUAAUAGACACCAUGAUUCUCGUCAGUCCAUCAUCCCACCCCCACCCCCCACCAUCAUUGCUACUGUAAUUGUCAUUGUAAUCACCAUAGCUACAACCUCCAAAGAGCAUGCCAGCUAGGUUCUAAUAGGUUUCUAGAAGGUACAGUCAUGAACUGUGUAAGGUCCCUCCUCCCUUUUACUUGGGGAGGUUUUCUAAUGGAUUCAGUAAACCAUUCAUUUAUCCUACAAGCAUUCACUGAGCAUCUACUGUACCCUGUGUUCCAUUCUAGAUGCUGGAAAUAGCCAAACCUCAUAGAGCUCACACUGUAUUGUGGGAGUGUAUGACAAACAGUAAAUAAUACACUCAAUAUACUUGCUAUAUUAGAAGAUGAUCAAGCCAAGGAAGACAAGAUCUGGAUUAAGGGCUGGACCCCCAAGGAGAGAGAGUAGACAGAGGCCUCUCUCUCUGUGGCUUCUCCAGCUCCUGCAGGGUUCCUACUAUCAUGGAAAAUUGCCCACUGUAAGGUAUCUUUUUUGUCAUAUCUAACAUUAGUAACAGUUUAUUGUAUUUGUUAUAAAUAUAACAAAUACACUUCAAUAUCAAGUUAUUGGUACACUUAAUGUAGAGAGCAAGUAUCAACUACUUUGCCAUUACUGUUUGAGAAUUUCAUAGAAGACUAUCAUGUGUUUUAAUCAAACCUACUCCCUACUCCAUUUUCUUCGACCCCUCCAAUUCUCCCCACCACUUUCUUCUCCUAACUUUACAUAUCUUUUCUUUAACCCACUUAGUUAUGGGUCCUCUUAGUGAUGCUCCACUAUAGGAUUCCUUUGCACUGUGUUCAUCAUUGAGAAAGUCAUUAUUUGGCAAAUAUAAGUCACUAUUUGUUUAAAGGAAGGAGGGAUCUGAUUAAAGAGAGGCUUAGAAAUAAGGUACAGUGAAUUAUUCACAAUGAAGCUGGGAUCUCAGUCAAUAUGAAGAGUGGAAUUAAAAUAUUGGAGAGCUGGAAACUGGAGAGUACACAAGGAGCUCCUUUAGCUGGGCCCUGAGCUCCUCAGCUACAGUGACCUGCUCUGACAACGAGGUAGGGUUAGAAGGAAAGACAGAAAGGAGGAUCUAUCUGGUUUCAGGGUCAGGGGGCUGUCCCUUGGCUUCUUGCCCUGGUCAGACAUGCUUCAGAAGAGCCUGCUGCAACCAGUUUCUCAUCACGCUCAUCUGUUGUUGCAAUUUCCUGAUCCUCCCACCUUCCUGAUACCUAACCUUAGAUUAUCUCAUGAUCUUGCCCAUUAUUUCCUUCACUUUUAGCUUCCCAAGCACCUAUUAUAUGCCAGGACCCCAUGAUGGCUAUACAGACUCCUACCAAAAGGUCUUAGGUGGACAAGGAGAUAGAUCACCACCGAUGAUUAAGGGCUUUGAUAGAUGUCAUCCAACCAGGUGGGGACUGAGGGUUUAGAAACUAUAUUCCAGGGUACACUGGCAACAGAUAGUCUACAUGCCAUCAUCUCUGGGGUUAGUGCCUUUGUAUACCCUGGUGUUGGCAUCUACCUUCAUCCUUUUUGACCCAACCUUGCAAGUCUAUAUUUUCUCACAGGCCUCUCACCAGGCAGCUUUGAGUGGUCUCGGCAGGACAAGCUGCCUUAAUAGCCCUUGGAUCCUUAGCCUGCAGCACUGAGUGAUGACUCAGAAUGUGUUGUUAAGUUCCUGUGAAUAACAUUUGUGCUAGGCCUGAAAAGAUGACUCAGUCCAACAGGUGGAGGAGGAGAGAACAAAGUCACUUGUGCUGAGCUAAGAGGACUCACUGUGUCUUCAUCUCUACCCCUAGCUAUUUAGGACAAGAGGCAAAAAUUGGUCAAAGACUUGAACUUAGAAUGACAAAAUUGCACACUUUGAAGAGGACAGAGAAGUGGACUGCUCCAACCACAAAGGCACCUGAGAUAUUUUUAGCAUAUGGGGACACUGUUAAAGGGGUGGCCAACUGUGUUCCUGUGAGCAUUGAUGCUACCAGUCAUCUAUCUUAGCUAAGAUAACUGAUUCCAGGCCAGUCCUAGGCAUAGAAACAUCAAUAUCUUACUUUACAGAUUCUUUUGCAAGUAAGGCAGAGAUUAAGCCUAGAGUGUGAGCUUUGAAUUCCAAAGUCAUUUAAUCCCUUGGAAUCUGUUUCCUCUAUCUGUAAACUACAGAGAGUAAUUAUGUCACAGGUUUUUGGAAAAAUAGAAUGAGACAACACAUAUGCAUAUGCCUAAUGCUUUUAAUUAAGAAACAGGAAAAUUUGGGUCCAUUCCACUACCAAAGCCAUGUGUGGUAAAAAUUGAUAUUUUUAAAUCUACAGAAACCUGAUAUAUCUGCUUUCUGGAUCCUUCCACAUAAAUUUGAAUUAAGUAUCCUGAGCUUCUUCCAACUCCAUGAGUCAGCAACUUGUUGCUCAGCGUUGGUCAGAGCACUGCCUAUCUCUGGCCUGAGGGAAUCUGAUUAACUGGUACUUACAUUCAACAGGCACCUGAGGUUUACAUUUCUCCGGCUGCAAAAAAGAUCUGUUUUAAGUAGGAGGAAAAAAAAAACUCCUAAUAUUUUAAAAUCAACAGCUUGAAGGUCAUUCUAUUGCUCUUCCAAAUCCUUUCACAACACCUUGGGCCUUUCAUGCUUGUUUCAUAUUUAAGCAUCAUCACCAUCUAACAUUUUAUCAAAUUAAAUUUUUCACUUGAGGCUGAUAAGCAAUACAGUUGUCUCCAUGGCUAGCAAGUGGUAAUGUCCUUUCUCUUUCCUCAAAUGACCUUAUCUCUAGCUGACUCACAUCCUGUUUCCAGAGCCAAUGAGACCACAGGGUCUGUCCCUAGUCUUUCUCCUCAUGAGUUGACAAAAUUCCUUCUAUCUCUACAAAGAAGCAGAUAUACAUUUAAACUUUAACUGAUUGAAUAAAUAAUUGAAUGAAGAAUUGAUGGAUGAGUAGAUAGAUGGAUAGAUCUGGAUGAAUUGAUGGUUAGAUGAUUGGAUAGUUGGAUGGAUGGAUGGAUGGAUGGAUGGAUGGAUGGAUGGAUGGAUGGAUGAUGAAUGGAUGAUCAUGUGGGUGGAUAGGCUCAAAGUGAGACUAGGAAUUUAAUUUCUUUCCUUUUGUGUAUGUCUGAUUCAAAACAUGUCACAAACACUCAAUACCAGCAUCCAAGAAAAAUACUCAAAACGUUUUCCCAAAUCACUAGGACAAGACUGGGUCUAAGAUGAGGCAGCUGAGUGACUAGGAUAUGAAACUUAACGAAGCACCCACCCUCAAUAUAGCUUGCCUUUCUAGGUACCUGACUUGUCUUCCCCUUGGCCCCAAGUCCAGGAUCAACUCCCCUCAAUUUUGCUAUCGUCUCAUACCCUCUAUUUCACACACACACACACACACACACACACACACACACACACCCUCUAGCACCAUCACGUACAACAUUCUAAACUUAUCCCCAUCCUGCUUUAACCUAGUGUUUUAUGAUGCUUAGUGCAAAACAAAAUCAUCUGAAAUGCUUUUUUGCAAAUACUCACAAGCAGUUCUGGUGGGUCCCAGACAUGAGCACUCAUUAAAAUUACCCAAGUCGAGUUUGAAAUCAGGACUAGGAACUGCUCCUCUACCCACUUUUCUCAAAUGACCCAGUUUUGAGCUGUUUCUUACGGCACUCUUCUCCCCUGUGAUGCUCUUGUAGCAGAUGCUGCAGAACAGACUUCCCUCUGUUCCCUCCAAGCUCUCCCAAAGCUGGUUAGUAAAAUGUCUUUUUCCUAUUUUACUCACAGCCCCUUCCCUCAAAGAGGAAGGCAAGUCCAUGGUGACUAUGUGGGAGAAUAAUGACAUAAAACGGGAUAAUUAACAUUUAUUGAAGGCUUACAUUCUGCCAGAGAUGUUCUAAAUCCUUUAAAGGUAUUUCACUUAUUUCUGCAUUAACCCUAUCAAAUAGGCCAUUCUGUAUUUAAUCUCUACUUUGGAAAUGAGUCAAGAAAGGCAGAAAGAGUGAAGACCACAAUUACCCGGCUAAGACACAAAACACUUGGUGUUCAAAACCAGAGCAUAGGCCCAAUUGCCUUAUCUGCUAUGUUUGCUGCUCCUUGUCAACCUCUCAAUUCUCUAGUAAACUUGGUCAUCUAGACUCAGUUAUACUAUAUGUGGGUUAUUUCUCUUGGGGCAUAAUGUUAUAACAGGUCUAUGUCUCUCUGGAUGAAUCUGUCUGCAUCUGAAUCAUGAUCAGGCAUACCUAAGGUCAUUCACUGAACCCUUCAUCACAUAUGAGGUCAUUGUAUGGUUUCCAUAAGCCUGGGUCAUCAGCUUUCCUCUUUGAACUUAAUGGAGGAUGAGAAUUUAUCCAAUGUACCAGUUAAGGACCAAAACUAUCAAAAAACAACCUUGGCUUGGGUUCCUAAUAGAAGGGGUGUUUGAGAGUAGUGGAAAAAAAAACCAACUUGAAGUGUAUUGUGAGGAUGGGUUUUCUCUGGAGAUCUCCAGACAGCUCAUCCAGAUAGCUAAGCCUUUGAAGACAAGGCUUUUAUUUAUGUAUCAUUUACUCCAGGUAAUUUACUCCAGGGCUCCUUUUGAUUAUCCCAAGAAUCAGCUUUCCAUGACCCCAGCCCCCUGAUUUUUAGCAAGCACAUUUUUUAGAAAACAUUGCAAAUGAGAUCUGCCUGCUUUUGUAAGUACAAGCAAUAAAUUUAGCUAGGUGAAAUCCCUUCCUAAGAUUACCAUUCUGACCACACCAGGAUCUAAAUUUACUUUUUCCCAGGCUAACCUUGAGUUUAGGAAUCUACCUGCCUUUGUAUCUUUCUCACAAGCUGGAUCAUAGUGCAGCUGCCUCUGUUCUUUUAGAUCCAUGAAGCUCCUUAUACAAUUUAUAUUGCAUCCUUAUAUUUUGCAUAGUUGAGAAAUUGUGUGUGUGUGUGUGUGUGUGUGUGUGUGUGUGUGUGUGUAUAUGUGUGUGUGUGUGUGUGUGUGUGUGUGUGUGUGUGUGUGUGUGUAUACACACAUAUAUUGAACUCAUGUUUUCAGAGUUCUUUCCCACAGCCCUCAGGGCUGUCCCGAAGGUCUCAGCUAACCCAUGGCAGUUUCUCCUUUUUCUUCUUCUUCCUCAUGGUCCCAAGCCUGGGAAACCUCAACCCCACCUAUGUCUCUUCUGCCCAGAUAUUGGCGGUUGGCAUCUUUAUUUACCAAUCACAAUUACCUGGGGGCAGGGUCACUCAGUGUCUUCCAUGCAGACUCUCUUUGGGCCAAUCAGUUUUGGGGCCCUCAAAUUAGCAUUAGAAUACAAGCAGCCUUAGGCCGACCCACUACAUUCAUGAAGUAAACAGAACAUACAAUCUUAGGAAGUUCCUGAAGCACAUGCAACUUGGCUUUAUGAGAUUAAUUUACUUCACUUAACUUGUUUUCUAGUCCCAUUCACAUUAUCACAGAUGAUAAUUUUCUUCUUAUUUGUGUCUGAAUAAUACUCUAUUGUAUAAACAUACCAUAAUUUCUUUACCUAUUCAUCCACUGAUGGAUACCUAAGGUGAUUCCAUACUUUAGAUAUUGUGAAGAGUGCCACAAAAGACAUGGGUCUCUAUCAUAAGACAAUGUUUCCUCCUUUGGUUUUAUGUCCAGAAUUGUUAGAGCUUGGUCAUACUGUAGUUCCACCUCUAGUGUGUUGAGGAAUCACCAUGACAAUUUCCACUGUAAACCAGUUUGCAGCUUAUGCUGAGACAGUUUUCAGUGUGUUCUUUCACAGCUACACCAACUGUGUCUUAAGAUACUUUUCCCCUUGCUAAUCCCUUGCAUUUUACAUCACUGACUUUGGGGAAUGUUUGUUAUGCAGCACAUAUAAUAUAAACUGUAUGAACAUAAACAGAACAACAGAGUUGUAUAUUCUUAAGAGAAGGAAUCAGCUGGAGGAAGCAAAGAAGAGAACAUACGCAUGUCCCAGUCUUUGUUGGGGAUAUUGUGGCACAUUCUUUCAAGACCUCUCACCAGAUCUUCUACUGACAGAUUUAAUGAAUGGUUAGGUAUCUUGGUCCUGGGGGAGCCAUCAUUAAUUACCUAGUCAGCUUCAUUCGUGGGAGCUAGCAUGAUAGCUUCUUCAUGUUGCCUUUCUCUGCUGACAUAUUGACAGAAAGCCUGUCCUGCAAUUUUUCACAUGUGAUGGAAUUCUUCUUGAAGCCUGGAAUUCACUCUCAGAACACUAGUGACCUCCCUCUUGUAUUGAUUAGUAAAUCACUCCACAUCUAUUCUCUUCUUCCUGUGUGUACAUCAAGAUUUCCCAGCCUGCUCUGUGGGCGCAGGUGGCUAGUUCUGCCAAUGAGCUACGGAUUCAUUGCCCAGCAUUUGCAGGGCAGUUAAAGGUGGGAAUGAGUUCCUCAGGAGCUUCAUUCCCUGCCACUGUGGUGCCCAUAGACGCCAUGAAUUGAGGUGGAUGAAUUACAACAUGGAAACAACCUGGACUGCUGAGUUACCUCAUAGGGGACAGCCUCCCUUGCCUGGGCUCUGCACAGAGAAGUAAUUAACACUUUCCUUGAUACAUUUCUCAGAUGUGAGGGCUUAUUUAUUACCCCAGCAAAGCCUAGCAUAUACUGACUAAAAGGCCCCUGAAUCUGCCGCACUAUCCAUCACCAGAGGAGGAAGCUUGAUGCUGUAUGUCUGGAAAUGAUGCCAGGACAAUCUCUGGUGAUUAAGUGGUAACUUCUGAUAAAGUCUAUAUCCUUAAGAAAGGGAACCUCUAUAUAAAUCUAUAUAUGUGAGCCGAGGAGUGGAAGGCUACUGAUGAGAGGAAGUAGUCAUUACAAACUCAAGGAGGGCUUUGUCCCCCUUCUUAUUUUACUUCUUGCUGCUGGGGUACCAUUCUCCUAGAGAAACUUGUCCACUCAGUUGAAAACCCCAUCUCAUCCCUCCUGGCCUUCGUGAAACACUAAAUACCUGUAAGCAUUAUAUGAUUUAUUAGCUAGGUGUGAUAACACAUGUUCAUAAUGCUUUGAAAGCUGACACAGGACGAUGAUUAUAAACUCAAGUCCAGCUAAUCUACAUAUUGUGUUCUGGGAAUGCCAGGGCUAUACAGCAAGACUCUGUCUCAAGAAAAAAACACACAAACACAACUUACAACAAACAAAGUAAAAGGAAGAAAUAUUCACUGUCUCAGAGUGCAGGCCUCACAAAGUCCAAGUCAACUGUCAAUAGAACCAUGUCCUAGGAGGACUCUACCCCUCCUUCUCUGAUAACCUAAGUCAUAAUCGCAUGCAUCCAGCCUCUGUCUCACGGAUCAUGCUAAACUGUCUCACUUCCGCUAAACCGUCUGCUAAAUAGCUAUCCUUGCUGUCUCCUGUUUUCAUUUAGGUCAAAACACUGAAAAUCCACCUCUCAUCAAACUUCAAGUGUAUAGUAAAGCAUUAACUAGAGUUACAUUGUCCCGUGGCCUCCCUCUUUGGGGAUGGCUGUCAUCAUCAGGCCCACUGGGUUAUCUCAAGAUGACAGUCCCAUAUCCAUGUAAGGUUCUGCUCAGUUACCUAUGCCUGGCCAGAAACAAAGCACAUGCCCAUAGCCAGAUUAGGAAGACAUGUUAACACACUCAAGUGAUUCCUUCCUUGCUCAGCAUCAGGCCCAAGUGGAAGAGGGGGGGGGGCCUCUGCAGGGGUGUCUGGCUGGGAAUGGAGCUCAGAUUCACUCCUGUUAGUUCUUGGCUCUACUCUGGAGAGACAGGUCAAAGCCCGAGUCUGAGUCCUUUGACAGAUGAUUGGUCUUCCAGGCCUUCUUGCAAUGGGAUGAGACAGAGAGCACCUGUGUCUUUGCCUUGCUGCGACAGUUACAUUCAUAGUGAGGAAAGUGAGAGAGAUGACUGCUGGUGAAAACUUUCUCCAUUUUUUUCUUACAUUCAAUUCAGGACCCCAGCCAUAAGUUAGUAACACCCACAUUGAAGGGUGGGUCGUCUCUCCUCAGAUAAAUCUUGUGAGGCACCCUGGUAGACAUGUCCAGAAGUCACUCUACUAAGUAUUUCCAAAUACAGUCAAGUUGACAAUGGAGAUUAGCCAUCAUAGCCUGGAGGACAAAGGCUCUGAUGGAGGUAGCAUAGUGAGUUAGAGAAGCUAAGAUAAGGAUGCUAUAGAAAAUCUGAGAGCUACAUACACACAUAGACACACACACCACAUACACACCACAUGCCACACACACACUACAUACAAACCACACAUAUAUACACAUAAACCAUACACAAACACACAUAUAUACAGCACAUACACACACUAACACAUAACACACACUACAUAAAAACAAACGAAACAUACAUGUAUCACACACAUGCAACACACACAUAGACAUACUACACACACACACACAACAUACAUACAUACAUACAUGCAUGCAUACAUACAUGCACAUCACACACACACCACACACAAACCACACAUACACACACAUAUGCCAUACACAAACAUACAUUUAUACACCACAUACACACACCAACACAUAACACAAACACACCACAUAAAAACAACCCAAACAUACAUGUACCACAUACAUGCAACACAUACACAUAGACAUACCACAUACAUACACAUCACACUAACACACACACACUAACACACACACACACACAUACACACACACACACACACACACACACACACAUACACAGUGAUACUAAGAGACACCAGAGUGAUCAGAAGGAGCCCAGCUAUGCUAAGAAGCCAUGGCUUACAUGGAGAAGGUUAAUGAGGUUGAUCUUAGGGUGAAAGGCAAAGCACAGGGCUGUGAUGGAAGCAGACGAGUUACUCUCACUGAUGGGCAGAGAAUGAUAUAAUGCUGGGUAUAAGCUAGAGACCAGGCCCAGUGGCAUGAAUGAAUUUAAACUACUUAGUAGGUGGAAUGGACAAAACUGUGGUUGGCUAGGUCAGAACAGUAAGGAAGUGAGACAUAGGAAGAACAGCCACUUCAUUCUUAACUGAGGGCACAGAGGGAGGCGACUCUGCCUGCCAGAAGGAGCAGAAUGAGGCAAGCACAGCAGUGGGAAUAAAGGUCAGGGUAGAUGGGAGAUACAGCCAGCAGAAGGUGAUGUGAGGCAAACAGCCCCACGGAGAAGAUAAACGGGAAGACACCAAUGCAUGUCCAGAAGCCACAAGUGGAAAUGGACAUUUUGUUACCAGUUUGGAGAGGAUUGUUGAAGUAGGAUGUGUUCAGAAGAAAGUACUGAGAGAAAAUAGGAAAGAAAAUGGACUUGUUAAUGUUUGGCUGACUCUCCUAUACCAAGUCUAAUACAAGAAUAUAGACUCAAUAAGACAUGUGCCAUAAUUAAAUAUAGUAUGAGGUACAGAGUAGCUGGCCAAGUUAGAGUGGGUGUCAUUGUCUCUAUGAGGGGUAGGGAAGGUCAGUCUAUUAGCCUUGGCCCUUCACCAUCAUGCAAGCCCCUAACUCAAUGAGAUACUCAACGUCCUUGAAGCCUUGGCAUUCUUCCUGUGGCCUCUCUGCUGACGCAAGCCCCACUCCCUCUGUCCCUUAUAGAUCCGUCCUUGUAGAAUUUCCCAUCUCCGCUUCCCCAGGCAAUCUUCCUUUCCCAAACUUUCUAGCAUUGCAAAACUUUUUUGACUCCAGCAAAAGUGAAACUAAUGAACUCACUGCAUUACACAGCUGUCUCUGCUAGUAAUGAAAUCCUUUUAUUACAAGGGAUUAGUUUAAAAUAUGUUAUUAAGCAGAUCAGAGGGAGCAAUGGCGGUAGAAGUCGUUAAGAUGCAAAGCGUGUGAAAGAACAGUUUCCCCCCUGAAAGAAGGGGAAGCGGAGAGUUGGCAUUGGAAUGAUUUGGUUUGGGAAGAAAUAGAUAGCAGCUUGCCCCGGGGCAUGAUGGGAUGUGGAUACAGAGAUGGUACUCACCCUGGAGAAGGCAUGGGAAGAACAGCUCUUAGGAUAAAUCUAGGGGCAGAGCACAGAGACUGGGAAAGGGAGGGUAGAGGUACCAGGAAAUACCUAUCAGUGGCUAAUGGAUGUGCUACCCCUCUGUCACCGGUCCACCCAACCCUUCCCUUGCAGGUUUUACCCAAUCCUUACAAGUGGUGAAGGAGGUACUGUUAGCACCCCAAGUUUACAGACGAAGAAAGUGAGUUUCGGAGAGGUUGAUGCCCUAUUAAGUUCAUACUAGUAAAAGGUAGAUGUGCGAUUUGAGAUUGAACCCAUGGUUGUCUGACCUCGUGGCUUAUACUAUCUAUAUCUCACCACCAUGCUAAGGAAGAAGGGCUUAACGAAAAAGACAGGCAAGGCAGAAGGCCUUUGCAUUUCUUCGACUAGAAAUUAAAAACCUCUUGCUUUGAAGUGCCCACAAUCCAGUCAUCAGAAGGAGCCAGAGAAGCAGCUGAGGGCCUCAGGCUCAACACACUAGGGUUGGGACUGGUGUGGCCAUGCCCAGAAGUCUGGGUCUAUUCGAGGCGGAAAUGAGAAGCCUGAGAGAAAAGGAUUCUUCACAACCCCGAACAGAGAGAGGACUGCUGGAAUCACUCUCUCGCCAAGGUCAAUGAUCAGCCCUUGGCAGGACAGGUAUAGCAUGAGUUACACUUGUAGUAAUCUAUGCUUGUGGGUCACAUCCCAUUCUCCUCCCGCCCCUCCUGGGCUGGUAGAUCCUGGGGGAACUCAAUUACUAUAGGAGAAGGCAAACAAUUUGGAAGUGUUGCCUCUGAAGAAUGGAUGACACCUGAAAGUUGAGAGCUUCCUCCAACCUUGUAAUCCUUCCCACAACACUGCUAACAAAUUGAACAAAUAAACCAGAGCUCCCAGCACCACAGGGAAGCACAUUUCCCCUGUGAGCAGCACUGACUUAUUAGAACGUUCUUUCAUAUAUAGAACAGAGCUAUGUCUGGCUGACGCUUUCACCAAUUAAUAUUAAUUCUGUCUAUUAGCCUUACAAAAUCAUUCUUCAAUGUGAUAGAUCUUGGAUAUUUGGAAAGAGAACUUACCUUCUUUCCUGAUCCCCAUUACUUCUUCCUUCCUUUAAAAAACAUUUUUUUUUGGAAUGGCCUUGUGUAUCCCAGGAUAGUCGUGAACCCUGAACCCUGUGUAGCCAAAUGUACCCUUAAACAUCUAAUCCUCCUGCCUCUACAUACUGAUGUAUUACAUGUAUUACAGGCACAUAGUAAACCCCUAGUUUAUAGGGAGCCAGGAUUAGAACCCAGGAUGUCAUGCAUGCUAGGUAAGCACUCUAUCAACUGAGCUACAUCCCCCAGCCUCCAAAGUUUCUACUCUUUUUCAUUUAAAUUAAUUUUAUUUUUGAGGUCGUGAUAUAAUUAUAUUAUUUUCCUCUCCCCUUUCUUUCCUCCAAAGCCUCCCAUAUACUCUUACUUGCUCUUCUUUAAAUUCGUGGCUUCUUUUCUCAUUAUUAUUAUUUUGUUGUUGUUGUUUUGUACACACACACACACACACACACACACACACACACACACAAAAACACACAAAAACCACACAGCCUGUUUAGUCCGUAUAGUGUUACUUGUGUAUAUAUAUUUUCAAGGCUGAUCAUUUAAUAUUGGAUGGAUAAUUGGUAUGUCCUUCCUUAGGGAAGACUGUUUCUCCUAUUCUCAUCAUCCCUUAGUUACCUGCAGAGUUGUGUAGAGUUGAGUACUCAUGAGAUUUCCCCUGUCCACAUUAGCCUGCUUAUUGGCAUCAUUGUUGUUUGCUGCCUAUCUAGGCAGUCAUUAUGUAGCUUCCGACCUUUCUAGGAGGCAUAUCUCACAGAUAACUCCCUACUCUUCUGUCUUUUACAAUCUUUCUUGCCCUCUCUUCUGCGGUGACCCCUGAGCCUUAGGUACAAGACCUGUGUUAUAAAUUAUCAGUUGGAAUUGGGCUCUACAACUCUGCAUUUUGAUUGGUUUUGUUUUUCUGUAAUGGCUCUAGUUAAUUGCAAAAAAAAAAAAAAGUUUCCUUGAUGUGGGGUGAGGACUGCACUUACCUGUGGGUAGAAGGACAAAUAUUUAAAAGGUAGGUAAGAAUUAACGCUGGUUUAGUAAAGUGGCAGUUUUAGGUUUUCCUCUAAGACCCAUGACUUUGCUAGCCCUAGUGCAUACUGGGGUUCCAGUACCAGGUAGGAUUUUCUUCUUGUUGUGCAGAUCUGAAGCCUAAUUAGAGAGCUGUUGGUUACAACCAAGGUGUACAUACCACUACUGCAGCCCUAGGGUCAUUGUGACAUGCUGAUUGUGCUUCAGAGGUGUCAUAACUGGGUAAGACUGUUGGUUGCUUUCAUCCUUUGGAAGUUUGCAUGGUGCCUUCUAGUACCACGAAAGCUAGUCCUUUGGGCUGGGGAGAUGGCUCAGUGGUGAAGAACACUGACUGCUCUUCCAGAGGUACUGAGUUCAAUUCCCAGCAGCCACAUGGUGGCUCACAAACAUCUGUAAUGGGAUCUGAUGCCAUCUUCUGGUGUAUCUGAAGACAGCUACAGUGUGCUCAUAUACAUAAAAUAAAAUGAAUCUUUUUUUAAAAAGAAAGGAAGGGAGGAAGGAAGGAAGGAAGGAAGGAAGGAAGAAAGAAAGAAAGAAAGAAAGAAAGAAAGAAAGAAAGAAAGAAAGAAAGAAAGAAAGAAAGAAAGAAAGAAAGAAAAAAGAAAGAAAGAAAGAAAGUCCUUGGGGGUAGAGGGAGGUUUUUCAGGUCACUUCCAGCUCAGGGACCUCUGACACCUGGGUCCAAAUGUGUGGUGUUAUUAGAAAUGGGGGACUUAGCAUCCACCUUCUGGGGAAAGCCUUAUUCUUUAGGGUUAUUUUACUCAGUGUUCCAAUAUUACAACAUUGUCCUUGAGACAGAGAUCACUUUAGGACAAAAUAUGCUUCAAAGGUAGAACUCAGAACUGAGCACUGCAUUUCAGGAGAUGAUAGACAAGUCUAGAGGGUUCAUAUACCUCUCCUAAGAGUCUCUUCCUUCAACAUCACACCCUGGAUGUCCUCCCAGUGGUCAUACAACUUUUUGGUUCGGCGUACUCCACAUCACAGCCUUAGCACCGCUCUCUUCUGCCAGCUUACUUUGAUCGUUCUGGAUCUCGAUUCUGUCAUCUGUGACAAAAUCGCCAUCACUGCCAGUGAUGUCAUCUGCAAAUUUGAUGAGUGGACACUCAUUGACUUUGUCUAAGUCGUGGGCAGAAAUGUUAAAUUUGUCAAGUCAACAGCAGAAAUCUGGGAUGGGGCCCUAAUUCUGCCUCAGCCAACUCUGUCUCUGGAAAGCUCGAUGGUGAAACGUGAAGAAUUACAAACUCACAAAAGAGUCAAGUAUGAGUGAGAAGGUCAAUUGAUUAUAGAUAUGCACUAUUGACCUAAAUCCUGGAAUUAAUUCUUGAUGGCUCUUUGUGUUCUCAUUUCUUACUAUCCAACAAUGAAAGAAGUGUCUAAUAGUCACAGGAAUCAGGGGCUGGAUAUGCCAUUUUCAAGCUGAAAUGAGAUGAGCCCACUUAAGGGAUAGUUCCAUAAAGGCAAGUUAGGAGGCAUGGUUUUUCCGCUCUUCCGUGGACAUCCCAGUCAAAAAGGCAAGGAGAAUAUGAGCUAACCUUCAGUCUGCACAGUCUAAUGAAACAUAAAGAUGCAUAAUAAAGUUUCCCGUCUCCCGUGAUAACUGCUCUAAGAGAGGAGAGGUAUGCACAGAAUACUGUGGGGUCUUGCUCAGGGGAUAAUAUUUCUACAAGAGAAACUCAAAAACUUUCAGAGAAAACAUAUUUGAGCUAGGUCUAGAAGGAGGAAUGGGAGUUUGCUAGGUAAAAAGAAGGGGAGAGAUAUUCUCAGCACAGGUGGAAAAACAGGAACUGGAGAUGUGACCCAUCUGGGGAAUAGAGAGGAAUUGGGGAUGAGGAUGCAUAAGAUGCAGGGUGUAGAAAUAGCCUCUUCUACUCACCUCAGCAUCCUGGGCUCCCACUGUGAACUUAAUACUGUUUCCACUUCUUGGCAGUGUUCAGAUGAAAAUUAUGUAGGUCCUGCCUUGGAGAAUUUAUAAGGUGGCUAGAUCUGCAUGAGUCACUUAGCCUCUCUGAAGCUCAGUUUCCUCAGAAAAGCAGAGAUAGUGAUAAGAGUUCAUGCUAUAGGGCAGUGGUUCUCAACCUUCCUAAUGCUGUGACUCUUUAAUACAGUUCCUCAUGUUAUGGUGACCCCCAACCAUAAAAUUAUAUUGUUGCAACUUCAUAGCUUUCAUAAUUUUUCUGCUUUAUUAACCAUAAUGUAAAUAUAUGAUAUGCAGGAUAUCUGAUAUGUAACCGCCAAAGAAGUCAUGGCACACAGGUUGAGAAAUGCUACUAGAGAGGAUUGUAGGGUAGCAUGUGUAGAAUACCCAGUGUGGUACACCACACAUCUGCCUGGCAAACCUAUGGCUGAAGCCUUUCCCAGUCCAUCCAGAAAGAUAUACAAGCCCUUAGACUGAGUAACAAGAAACACACUGUAUACAAUAAGGUCUGGAGGCUUAGAAGUCCAAGACCAAGGUUCCAGAUGGCUUGGUGUCUGAGGAUUUGCUUACUGUUGCUUUCUUAAAGAUUCAUGCUUCGUCUGCAUGUAUGUAUGUGCACCACCUGUGUGUCUGGUGCCCUCAGAGGCCAGAAUAAGUUACCAGGUCUUCUGAAACUGGAAUUACAAAUAGUUAUGAACUGCCAUGUAGGUAGUGGGGUCUGAACCCAGACCCUCUGAAAGCAGUACGUGCUCUUAACUACUGAGCCAUCUCUCCAGCUCCAGAUGACACCUUCUUGCUACAUGCUUAUUUCUUUUAAAGGACACUGUGAGCUGUAAUUCUCCCUACACAGUCACUUUCUAUCUACCUGUCAACACCACAGUGAGAAUUAGGCUCCAACAUGAAUUCUGGAGAGAGAUAGCAUCGAAACACUGCAGAGCCCUCUUUUUCCUCAUGUGUGUUCCCGUGGAAUGAGGCUGAAUUCCCAUGGCUUCCUCAUUUAAGCACAUCAGGAAUGCAGCUUUUAUCCGCUCUCUGAGAGAGCUGUCUCCAAUCGAGCCACCUAUAGCUUCUUUGGGAGCACUCAAAUGCCAACUGAAAUGCACGCACCAUUGACUCUUCCUUCACCAGGAACUUUCUACUUCCUGUCUCUUCAUCUUCUCCGGGGAAAAGAUUAGACAUAGCCCAGGUUCCUGACCCAAGUUGAAGUUGAUUCAGAAAUGCACCAGAACAGGAAUUAAUCCAGUCCACUAAGGAUACAAAUCUGGGAGGAAGUCCAGGGCAGAGACAGAACAUGGUGGGUGGCACAGCAGGGGGGUGGAUAUCACAACGAGAGCACAGUAUGCAAAUUCAGCACAAGAGAGUCCAAUAAAUGUCUGACCUAAGGCUCCACAGCAAGGAAACAAGGGCCACUGAGUACCUGACGUCUUGCCUCCAUUCAAUCAAGGAGAAUACAAAUAGUUUAUGUACCUGUACCUAGGUCAUCCUUACACUACUCACAGGACUGAAGACAGUUCCUACUUUAUAACAUAACCCUGACUCAGAGUUUUAUGCAACUUACCAAUGAACAAUCAGCUAGUAUACAGAAGAAUUCAGAUUUGACCCAGGGCCUGACAUUGUCAUGACUAUCUAAUGUCACCUCUUUGCUGUGAUGAAACACCCUGACCAAGUCAACUUGGGGAACAAAAAGUUUAUUUGGCUUACACUUCCAGGUCACACCCCCUCACUGAAGAGAAGUCAGAGCAAGAAUUUAAGCAGGAACUUGAAACAGAAAGCAUCAAAGAAUACUAUUUUAUGGCUUGUUCUUUGGCUUGAUCACUAGCAUGUUCUCUGAUAUAGCCUAGAACUACUUGCCUAGGGAGAGUGCUGUCCACAGUGGGCUGCUACUUCCUUCAUUGAUUAAUUAUCAAAACAGUACCCUACAGACGUGCUCCCAGGCCGAUCUGAUCAGGACAACUCCUAACUUGAGGUGUUCCUCUCAGACUGUGUCGAAGUUUGACUCUAGGCUGUGUCAAUCAGACGAUUAAAGCUACCUAGGGCAGUAUAUCCUUUACUAUCCUUUGGUCAUGGAAAUAGCUACAGUAUUUGAAUAUCUACCAAGUACAGGUACUACAACCAGUAAUUUCUAAGAUUUAUCUGUUUUUUUUUUCUAGAACAAACUUUCCAAGCAAGUGUUCCCAUCUCCAGUCCCAGAAUUCCAAUGUCCUCUACCCCAGAAUUACAUCCCAGAAGCACCAGAAUCGAGCUCUAGUUGUGACUGCCUGAUUCCAGGCCAGGUUUUGUGUCCUCUUCUAGGGUCAUCAGACACAAGAUCUGGGAAUCAAAACCUAAUAGGAAGUCCAACCUAGCAGCCUGCAUGGAGCUGUAGCUUAGGAGAGCUGGAAAUUCAGGGAGCCAGAGCUUCUGGUUCCCACUGUACAAAGCAGAGGGGGCAGCGUCUGAGCCAAGCAGGAGUCCCACCCACCACAUUUCUGGUGCCAUCACCCUGGGGCACCCUGUGUCUAAGGCCUUCUCCAAAAAGUCAGCUCUCCUUUGGGUCCCUGAAAAAUAAACCGGUCCUGUCAACAAUUCCCGUAAGAAACACAGCGAGCUUUGGUUUCAGCGAUAAUAAAUCUGGUCUGAAUGAGUCUUGGGACUGCAAGAGAUGAGUGAGAAUACUUUAGUUCGUUCUCUAUGGACAAAGAAAGCACAGCUACCUGCCAAGUGUUACAAGCGCCCUGCCAGGAAAAGCCACAGGUCUCCUCGCCAACACCCUGCCAUCUUCAGAAAGGCUCUCGCAUUUUUUUAAAUGCUAUAAGAGCCUGCCUCUACCCAAUUUUUCCCUCUCACUGAAGUAAUUCUAGACAAGCAUGCUUUAAGAGUGCAUGGUGGACAGGUCAUCUGGAGGCAGGGGAGGGUUGUUUGCCAGCCCUGGUGACACUCCAUCUAUUUGUUAAAAGGCACUGGAUCUUUCAAAGGCCAAGGGGACACCCAUGGCUGGCAAUGUGCAGAACAGUAGCAAUUAUGAAGCACUUGGGGAGGACCCCUUCACCUUUAAAAACUGCAGGCCCAGAUUAGUCUCCCACAGUGCAGGAGCUCCUGGGGACAUAUUUACUUCUGUUCUCAGUCAGGGAGAAAGGAGACAGCCUCCCGGCCUGUGGCUGCACCAUCCAAGGCUGCAAGGGGGCAUGACUUUGCAAAGCUAAUGACCACUUUCCUGUGCAGGGUGCCGGCCACUAAAGGGGUUUAAAACCGAUGCUUUGGCUUAAAUCAUGGGGGAAAGAACAUAUACAGUGUAUCUUCAACAGCGUCUGGACAGAGCUAGGUCUCUGUGACAGCUGAUAGUGUGUCGGGAGGUGGGUAUCAAGUGAGCCUAUUACUUCUAUUGGUAGGUAAGAUGAAGACACCACUGUGAACCUUGAGGAUGGAACGUGAACAGGCAUCCUUGUGUAGCCCAGGCAGGUCAUCAGUGCUUAUCCAUCACUGUCACCAUCCUGUCCACGCUGAGAAUAAGUGUAACCAAUUCUUACUCUUGGCCAGACAGGAGACUCAAGGUCAAGUGGCAAACAGGAGACAUUCAUGAGGUGCAUGAGCUCGGAUGGUUCUCCUUCAGACCCACCUUUAGCUUAAGGGCCACUCUGUUCCCUGCUCCUGCCAGUACCCUCUAUGUCACAUAGAUGGAGCUGAAGUGUGGACUAUAACAGAUCACUCUGAUAGUCCCUGCCCUGCUUCUAGAAAGAGAACAGAACUGAUCUGCUCAGUUUCAUUUUAUAGACCAGGCUGAGGGAGCAACAGAGAAACAGGGCAAAAGCCAGCAGUGUGAGGGCUAAAGUAUUAUCAGAUGCCUCAGGCCUAUGGUAACAUCCCCAGGGAUGUCUAAACCAUAGACGGUUCCAGGUUCUAGGAGUCUUUCCUAGAGAGUCUGGGAGUCUGGGAGCUCGACUGUAAAUGGAUGCUUCCGUGCAAACCAAACAGUCCUCUCAUCUGACAGAGCACAGAAGUCUUUGAUAAAGAAUGCCUCAGGCCCUUGUUCAGUUCUCUGCUUACUACACUUAACCGAACCUCACCAUCUCCUGGUUGCAAAAUACCAUCAUCUCCAUUUCACAGAUGAUGAAAUCAAGUCGUAGCAGGAAUGAGUAACUUGUUUGCUCUCUGGUUAAGUGACAGAGCCCAUACUUCAAGACAAGGCUGCUAACCCCAAGUGUGGCUAGCCAAAGAAAGGCCACCAUUCUAACUCGUUAAACCAUUGCUGACAUCAUUAAGGAUGGUGGUAACCAUCAUUGGUGGCAACCAAGGAGGGCACCUGGUCUCUGAUCUAGUCAAAGAGGCUCAGGGAUUUGCACACAUUAUCAUAUGUAAUGUUCAAUAGCCCUCACAUGCUAAUAUCGAUGGGGAUAUUUUGGAUACAAUAUAAGCUUAUCUACCACUCAAUCAUGAUAUAUAAGCUGGGAAAAAGGAAAAUGGGACGCAGAAGACAGGUUUAAUGGUACACACUUGUAAUCCCAGCACUUAGGAAUCUGAGAGAGGAGAUUCCAGUGCAAGGCCAACUUGGGCUACAUACUGAGUUCUAAAGUAGCCUGGGUUAAUAAGAGAGACAAUAUCUCAAAAACAAAAUGAUCUAUUCUCCCAAUCCUAGUCAAUUCCAUAUGCCCAACAAUUCCUCUACAUUCCUUCCUCACCUGCUCUUCCCACCCAAGGCCAAAUGAAACCAGGGGCAUUUCUUAGAUGGGAAAUAUAAAGUCUCCAAGACAGAGUGGAUGCACAGUCCCCAUAAAGUAAGGCCCCCACUAACAGGAAGUAUCUCCAAGCCUUAGCCUUGUCUGAGCCACUCUGUGCUCUGUCAGUUCAUUCCCAAACCCUCCUCCCUUAAGCAUUACUCCUCACACCAAAGCCUGUUCACACUCUAAUAUGUCAAGUGCUUUGUCAGUAUGACUGCCCUGCCUCUCAGGAAAGCUCUACCGGUGUAGUGAGAGAGCCAGAGUGUAAUGGAGGGGACAGUCUGAACCUGCCAUAGUAGAACCGGGAGAAGAAGAACAAAGCGGAGGGAGGACUUUACGGGGACAGCCCUGUCACUCACCUGAGCUAGAAAAUAAGCCCAUCAUUCACCCUAGAGGCAGCAGCUACUGGCUCUAAGCCAUCUGAGUAGUUCUCAUUGAUCAGAGUCUAGACAGUAUCUAAAAAUUCACUGACUAGCAAGGGGGAGGGGCUUCCCUUAAAGCUCCUACUCGUAGCUUCUAGGUAAAACUGGGACCUACAACUUUUACUAGUUUUGAGGCAGCAAAGGAUAGAAAACAGAUUAGCAAUCUAGGAAUCUACUUGUUUUGGGUUAUACACACACUUCUUCUUCCAAUAAUGUGCCCAACAAGGAACUUAGCGACCUCAGGUCCUUCCCCUGACCCUCAGCUGUAUAGAGAUACACCUCCUUCUGAAAUAGUAUAUGACUAUCUUAGGCCAGUGUGUAACUGAGCAUGCACCCAAUUAAAUCAGUUGCAACAUGGGAAUAGACAUGUACAGUAAAAUGAUUAUAUGAUCUAGCAAUCAAAAUUGGGAGCCAUCCAAGUUACAACAUGCAGCAGCCAAAUUCUUUUUCUUGAACCUCAUAAAAGAAGGACCCAAAGAGUAACUUGAAUACUCUCAAUCAAAUGGCCAAUGCCAGUCUUGAGAGUGUAUUCCUCUCUCGUUUAUGUUACCAUUCACCCUAAAUAAAUUUUCUGUACUACUUCUAACAUUUGUAUGAGCCCUUCUUUCUCAGUCUUUGGACAAGAGGCAGAGAACCUGGAGGCAAUCAUCCCAGACCCCUACCAGCAGUAACAGUGGGGAGCAAAAUGUAGGAAACACAUCAAGAAACCACAUCCUCCUGUGAUGGCAUUGUAGCCAUAUCUGCUGAGUCCAAUGUCCUUCAAACUUGAGUAAAGGAGAAAGCCAAGCCAUUGGGGGGGGGGGGUAAGAUGGCUUCCCCAAGGUCCCAUGACUACAAGGAUUUGACUCCAGACACGCUGAUUCCAAAUUCUUUCCACCAUGCUUAGGAAGGAAGAGUACUGGACAGGACCAUCUUAGGCCACUUGGAGACAUCUGGCUGUGGUUAGAGAAAGACUAAUAAUGGGAAAGAAGCUGGUCUCCAGGGCUUCAUCCAUAGCUGUGGAUGGGGGCUGCUCAAUGAAGCACCAUUGACUCCAAAUCUUGUAGUUUGAGAAGACAGCAUAGAGCAACAUAGUGUCUAAGAUGGAGACAGUAAUCAUGCUUGCUUACUUGUGUAUCUUUUAUAAUAAUGGGGGUGUGUUUAAGACUUUGGUUUUUUUUAUGUAUGCAAACGUUUAUCUGAAUGUAUAUAUGUCUGCCAUAGGUGUGACUUUCUAGAAGAACUGUAUGAUAUGACUGAACAGUGGCCAGUACAGGGGAAGUUCUUAUAACACGUCCACAGGAUGAGCAGCCUGCCAAGGAAAGUUUCUGAACAACAUAUAUAAUUUAGCUCAUCUCUCCCUCAGCUGUAUUUUUCUUAUACUUUUAUCAUUACUGAUAUUAUAUUUUAUAUGCAUGAAUUAACUAAUAUUCUGAAUUCCCCAUUAGAUCCAGGUCUGUAAGGGCAAGGACGUUCCAGUUUUCUCCAUUUCUGUAGUUACAAAACUUACAACUUUGACUCCACUCAGACAAAGCUAUUUUUAUCUUGUUUUAGCAACUUGGUGAUGAUAUACGAUGUCUACUUAAAUUGUGUUCCUUCUCUAUGGAAUUUGAGGAGUCUUGACUCUGCACAUAUGUAUCUUUACUAGGUUUUAAACAUUUCUAACCAUUAUUGCUUCAAAUGUUUUUGUUUUUUUUUUUUUAAUGCCUGUCCUAUUUUCUCUCGUCUCCUCCUGGGAUUCCAGUUCACUUUGUUACUGUUUUACUCAUUGUUUCAAGGAUCAGUAGUGUUCUGUUCUUUUUUUCCCCUAAUAUUUUUCUCUCUGCUCACUAGUCGGUUUCCCACUAGUCUACUUUCUAGUUUGCUGAGUCUUCUUUCAAUCACUUCUAGUCUACUGUGAGGGCCACCCAGUUAGUUUUCAGAACUUACAUUGUUUUUUAACUAAUUCUAGAGUUUUCCAUGUGGUUGUCCUUUGUGGGAACUGCUUCUCUGCUGAUUAUUUUGUUCACUCUAUUGUUGCUGUUGGUUGUUUGUUUGGGCCUUUGUUUCUUAUUAUAAGAAUGCUUUGUGGUCAUUGGCAUAGUUAAUAAUAACUACUAAAUAACUACUUAAUAACUAUUAAAGUUUCCUUUUUAUGGCAUGGGAUAUAGCUCAGUGGAAUAUAGCUCAGUAGAAAAAAA